CACGUAGGGCGCGAGCGUUGUCCGGAAUUAUUGGGCGUAAAGGGCUCGUAGGCGGUUUGUUGCGUCGAAAGUGAAAAUCCGGGGCUUAACUCCGGACUUGCUUUCGAUACGGGCAGACUAGAGGUAGGCAGGGGAGAGUGGAAUUCCUGGUGUAGCGGUGGAAUGCGCAGAUAUCAGGAGGAACACCGGUGGCGAAGGCGGCUCUCUGGGGACGGUACUGACGCUGAGACGCGAAAGCGUGGGGAGCGAACAGG
rnacentral:rRNA from 1 species